AGUUGUAAGAACAAAUUACUUUUGUUCGUUCGCUAUAUUUUAGUACUGAACGAAAAAUUCUUCAUUAAAGUAAAUUUGACAAGAAUUUUGUUUACAAGCAAGUUUGUUUUGUUUAUUUCUCCAAUGGAUUGGCCAACAGAAAAGCUGUUACGACUCAUUGAGCUUUUUAAAAAAAAUCGCUGCCUCUGGGAUCCUAAGGAUAGAAACUAUAAGAAAAGUAACGUUAAAGACAGGGCUUGGAAUAACAUCAGCGAUGAGUUGGGAAGGAGUGCCAUUGAAACUAAGAAAAAGAUGGAAUCGCUCCUUGCUUCAUAUCGUCGAGAGCGUAAAAAAUAUGAAUUAGCUCUAAGCGGUUCUCAUGCGGACAAGGGGUAUAUUUCAAAGUGGUUCGCGUUUAAUGCCAUGAGUUUUAUGGCAGACAGAUCAUUCGAUAGAAGGCCCAUACGCGAUAUACAUCAUGAUCCUUUGGACGAAAUAUUACAACAAGAUAGUUCUCACAGUCAAGACUCCUACGAGGUUAAUUCGAAGCGUAUAAGACCAAAUGAGAAGGAAAGUCCGCGAGGAAGUGUAACAUUUGAUGUAACGCACCCUGCAAUGACUAAAGAAAAAGAGAGUACAAACUCCUGCUGUAUUAACAGGAGCGCUGCCGAAUUCAAAAGGCGAGAUGCAAGUGAUAUAUUCGGAGAAUAUAUUUCUACUAAGCAUCGAAAAUAUAGUGACCAUGUCAAAAACAUAAUAGAACAUCAAAUUGCACAAAUUUUGUUUGACGCCGAUAUGGGUCUCUACAAUCCUGGCACAACAACGACAGUUACGAUAACCGCCCGAUCGCCAACUGUAGAAACGGACACAGGAGGCACUUCGGAAAUCAUUUAUGAAAAAUAGUGCGAAUAAGUAAUUGUAAUUAUAGAAUUUAAACUUAAAAUAAAUGUGUUUAAAGCAUAGGCAAUAUAUUCGAAUUUUGUAUCAGAAUUCUGUUUUACGGUUUGUUGUUGCACUAUCGUACAUACAGCGCAGACAAUUACAUUCCUACGUCAGUCGGGUCUAAGUAACCGGAAUGGACGCGGAUUUUAUGCAGAAAAGGACUGUUAACUCGGCACUUCGAAAUUACCUCAGCAAAACAAAAGCAUUUUUUCAUCAAAACUGUCUGAAAUGACAGCUAAAAAAGCGACAACUUUGCUCUUACUUAUCCCCACAGAAUUUACAGCGUGAAUGACGUCAUGAGCAAGAAGAGGAAUUGCAACAUAAACAAGAGCCGCAGACUUACAUAUUUGGAAAAUCAGCGUAUAAAGUUCAAUAAUUUGAAAAUGAAAUGUUCAGUGGUAGGCUGUAGCAGUGAUUAUAUGAAUCCAUUGAAAAAAACCUUCUAUAGCUUUCCAACCGACGCAGCUGUUGCUCAUAAAUGGGUUUUAUUUUGCCAGCAACCGAAAGAAUUUAACUAUCGGAGUAAAUUUAUUUGCAGAGACCACUUUAAAGACGAUGACUUCCUAAAUCUUGCACAAUUUAAAAUGGGUUUUGCACUGCGACUGAGAAUAAAGCGCGAUGCGGUGCCCACCAUCCGACGAAUAUCCACUGGACCAACAAUACGGGAGCUACGUAUUCAACGGAGGGAACAAAAACAAAUUGUCAAUGAUCUAUUACGAAAGUAUAACCAGGAACAGAAAGUGAAAAUAAAGUUAGCUGAUCGUCAGUUUGACGAAGUAUGCAACACUCAAUCUGCCAAGGGGUCAGCGCCAGUUACAAACAAUACAAAUGGAAAAGAACACACCGGUAAGCAAAUAGAGUUCAUUGCUAAUGGAUUUGACGAAAUAAGUACUCAAGCCACCAAAGGCUUAGGGCUGGUUACAGACAAUACAAAUGACAGAGAAGACUCCGUAGAGCAAAUAGAUUUUAUUGCAAAUGUAUUUGACGAAAUAUGCAGCACACCAGCCACCAAAGGUUUAAGGCCAGUUAAAGCCGGUAUUAAAAAUAAGUUGUCAGACUUUGCCAUAUGUAAUGACAAAGAAGACACAAUAUCUGAAGACUAUAUCCACAAUAAAAUUCAGUUUGAGGAAGUGAAGGUGGGGAACAAAAAGGACUAUCCUGUUAAUGUGUUUGAGGAAGUUGAUGAGCUACGGGAACAAAUCAAACUUUUGCGAAAGGAUAAUAUUUGUCAGCGCCGAAUCAAUAAGGGACUGUGCAAGAAGCUUGAAAAAUGGAAGAGAUUAAAUAUACAGAAGGAUAUUCGUUGUGCAAACAGGAUUAGUAGAGUGAAUGUGCUAUUAAAAAAUAAAACUCAGGAAUGUAAAAAUCUAGAGGAAAAGCUAAACUCUAUUUUCACCAGUGGGCAAAUUAACAAAAUGAAAUCCCUAAAACUUAAUUAUCAAUGGGAUGAGGAGGAUAUUGCCAAAUCCUUAAUCCUAUAUAGAUCAAGUGGCAAAACAUAUAAGUUGCUUUACGAUAAUGGUUUCCCUCUGCCAUCAGUGCGUACUAUACAGAGAUGGGUUUGGAGUCAUAAAAUCGACCCAAACAAAGAUGGAAAUUACGCGAAAAACAUAACUGCAACAGAAAAAGUAAUUGAUAUACUGGGAAGAGAGAAUACAAUUGAUCCAUUAAAUAUAAUUGACCCGGAAAAUAUAAACGAAGCAGAAAAAUUAAUUGAAACAGAACACGUAAUUGAAGCAGAAAAAUCAAUUGAAACAGAACACGUAAUUGAAACAGAAAAUAUAAUAGAAACAGAAAAUUUAAUUGAAACAGAAAAUUUAAUUGAAAGAGAAAACCUAAUUGAAACAGGAAAAUUAAUUGAAACAGAAAGCUUUAUUGAAACAGGAAAGUUAAUUGAAACAGAAAGCUUUAUUGAAACAGAAAACAUAAAUGAUCCAGAAAAUGUAAUUUUGGAAACUCAUAUGAACGAUAUAGAUCAAACAUUCGUUGACUAUGCAAUUACGAUAGAAAUAGUUUAAACAUAUUUAUUUUCAACCAGAAUUCUUUU